rnacentral:rRNA from 1 species
GUGAACGUUACAAACUGUUGCCUCGGCGGGAUCUCUGCCCCGGGUGCGUCGCAGCCCCGGACCAAGGCGCCCGCCGGAGGACCAACCAAAACUCUUAUUGUAUACCCCCUCGCGGGUUUUUUACUAUCUGAGCCAUCUCGGCGCCCCUCGUGGGCGUUUCGAAAAUGAAUCAAAACUUUCAACAACGGAUCUCUUGGUUCUGGCAUCGAUGAAGAACGCAGCGAAAUGCGAUAAGUAAUGUGAAUUGCAGAAUUCAGUGAAUCAUCGAAUCUUUGAACGCACAUUGCGCCCGCCAGUAUUCUGGCGGGCAUGCCUGUCCGAGCGUCAUUUCAACCCUCGAACCCCUCCGGGGGGUCGGCGUUGGGGAUCGGCCCUUUACGGGGCCGGCCCCGAAAUACAGUGGCGGUCUCGCCGCAGCCUCUCCUGCGCAGUAGUUUGCACACUCGCAUCGGGAGCGCGGCGCGUCCACAGCCGUUAAACACCCCAAACUUCUGAAAUGUUGACCUCGGAUCAGGUAGGAAUACCCGCUGAACUUAAGCAUAUCAAUAAGCGGAGG